rnacentral:rRNA from 1 species
ACGGGAGGCAGCAGUGAGGAAUAUUGGUCAAUGGACGGAAGUCUGAACCAGCCAAGUCGCGUGAAGGAAGACGGUUCUAUGGAUUGUAAACUUCUUUUGCUCGAGGGUAAAGUGAGUCACGUGUGACUUAUUGCAAGUAUCGAGUGAAUAAGCAUCGGCUAACUCCGUGCCAGCAGCCGCGGUAAUACGGAGGAUGCGAGCGUUAUCCGGAUUUAUUGGGUUUAAAGGGUGCGCAGGCGGCACGUUAAGUCAGCGGUGAAAUGCAGGGGCUCAACCCCGGCACUGCCGUUGAAACUGGCGAGCUCGAGUACGGAUGAAGUCGGCGGAAUGUGAUGUGUAGCGGUGAAAUGCUUAGAUAUGUCACAGAACACCGAUUGCGAAGGCAGCUGACUAAUCCGCAACUGACGCUCAGGCACGAAAGCGUGGGGAUCGAACAGGAUUAGAUACCCUGGUA